CACAUGACUCUCGGCAACGGAUAUCUCGGCUCUCGCAUCGAUGAAGAACGUAGCGAAAUGCGAUACCUGGUGUGAAUUGCAGAAUNCCGCGAACCAUCGAGUCUUUGAACGCAAGUUGCGCCCGAGGCCAUUCGGUUGAGGGCACGCCUGCCUGGGCGUCACG
rnacentral:rRNA from 1 species